UAAAUGACAAGGAAGAGGAAAAGUAGGUGUAUGGUUCUUAGCGGCAGCGAGUCGGGAACGGUGUAAGCCCGGUGCAAGCCAGACACACGAAGUUCGCCUCGGAGUUGCCCGCUGAAUUUCUGUUAAAGAGGAGAGUAGGCGGUUGCCGGGAGUUUGCCCGUUAUAGCAGGGGAGUAUCGGUUGGUACCCGUACUUCUAUAAAGUGAUUCGCCGACGCGGAUAAUCAAGGUGGUAACGCGAGACCUCUCGUCCUUAUA
rnacentral:ncRNA from 1 species